rnacentral:lncRNA from 1 species
CAUUGGAGAUCCUCCGGUGUGCCCUAAUUUAAAGCUGCCUGGGAAAUAACAGAGGCUCACACAAAUGAGGAGAAUGAGUUCAGCAGACGAGACACAGACAGGUUUAAUCUGUGUGGAUAUUAACCCAGGCAUUUUCAAUAAAUGUAUAAUUACUGAUUCAAGUGUAAUAUUGCCAUGUUCACAUUUCUCCUGAUCAUCAUGGUUAAAUCAUCUCAGUAUGACAUUUUCACACUGAAUAAUAUUAAUCUUUACAAAUGCUGUUAUUAGCAAGGCAAAUGACGGUGGCUGUAAAAGCAGCACUUUAGGCCAUUAUGAGAGCGCAGGGCAUUUAGACAGUGUGGCCUGAUGGACAUUAGGAUGAAUGCUGGGGCAGAGAAGCAUCGCUUAGUUAAACACCUCACAUCCAUGAAACUGCCAAAUGGACCUGAUUAGCCAUGCAUGGAAUGACACACACACACACACACACACAUGCUGCUGGCCAUGCAAUGAGAGACACAGAGUCACAUAUUCAUAGCUCAGGUGGCAGGCAUACUGGGGACACAGCACUCAGCUCAGAUUAAAAAAAUGUGUGUGUGUAUAUGUAUGUUUGUUUUCCAUUUUCCAGAAUAAACAUCCUGAAGACCUAAACUCA